rnacentral:rRNA from 1 species
UACGUAGGGUGCAAGCGUUAAUCGGAAUUACUGGGCGUAAAGCGUGCGCAGGCGGUUCGGAAAGAGGGGUGUGAAAUCCCAGGGCUUAACCUUGGAACUGCACUUCUAACUACCGGGCUAGAGUACGGCAGAGGGGGGUAGAAUUCCACGUGUAGCAGUGAAAUGCGUAGAGAUGUGGAGGAAUACCGAUGGCGAAGGCAGCCCCCUGGGAUGAUACUGACGCUCAUGCACGAAAGCGUGGGGAGCAAACAGG